AAUAGCAAUUCCGGUUGAUCCUGCCGGAGGCCACUGCUAUCGGGGUCCGACUAAGCCAUGCGAGUCACGGGGGUGUCCCUUUGGGGCACCACCGGCGGACGGCUCAGUAACACGUCGGUAACCUACCCUCGGGAGGGGGAUAACCCCGGGAAACUGGGGCUAAUUCCCCAUAGGCCUGAGGUACUGGAAGGUCCUCAGGCCGAAAGGGACUUAUGUCCGCCCGAGGAUGGGCCGGCGGCCGAUUAGGUAGUUGGUGGGGUAAUGGCCCACCAAGCCGAAGAUCGGUACGGGCUGUGAGAGCAGGAGCCCGGAGAUGGACACUGAGACACGGGUCCAGGCCCUACGGGGCGCAGCAGGCGCGAAACCUCCGCAAUGCGGGAAACCGCGACGGGGGGACCCCGAGUGCCGUGGCA
rnacentral:rRNA from 1 species